rnacentral:rRNA from 1 species
CCGAUAGUGAACCAGUACCGUGAGGGAAAGGUGAAAAGCACCCCGGAAGGGGAGUGAAAUAGAACCUGAAACCGUGUGCUUACAAGUAGUCAGAGCCCGUUAAUGGGUGAUGGCGUGCCUUUUGUAGGUUACGAUUUGAUGCAAGGUUAAGCAGUAAAUGUGGAGCCGUAGCGAAAGCGAGUCUGAAUAGGGCGUUUAGUAUUUGGUCGUAGACCCGAAACCAGGUGAUCUACCCUUGGUCAGGUUGAAGUUCA